UUUCGAGUUAGGGUCUACGUCUCAUUUGCUCCAACUCAGCGACUCCUUUCUGACGAUUGGGACGUGAGGUGCUGGACAUUUAUGCCGGUAGACAUUCUGGACGUUGAUGUAGAUAAGUUUGCUGCACAUCGAUGCGGGUGCAAUGGUACUUGAAGCUGGUGGAAACGGUGAUGAGGACUUGUGCUCUGAGAGUAGCGUGGAGAAAUCAUCGUCUAGGGGCAUUAGGGGGUCGUGUUUCUCGGAUCGGGCUCGCCUCGUUGGUCGCCUAUUAAAUUGGGUCGUGGAGAAGAAUGGCUGACGGCAUUGGAAAUUCGGAAGAGCAGAUACGAAGCGUGGACGACCAGAUUCGAAGCGUGCACGAGUAGAUAAGAAUAGUGGAAGAGAAGAUAGAAUGAUUGGAAGAGGAGAUCAACAGAUGCCCUAGCGAUGAGGAGAGGAAGCUAUUGCGGGGCAAGGAAGCGUAACUUGGGGGCGAGAAAGCGCAACUCCGGGAUAGGGAAUCGCAACUUGGGGGCGAGAAUGCGCAACUCCGGGACGAGAAAGUGCAAAUCCUGCAACGACGAGGUCACUCCUAUCACUCGUCACUUGUCAUUGAAGGCCCAUCUCCUCAGGCCUGGGCACAGAAUAUGACUGGCUGGUGCAGAAGGUCGUGCCGCCGACUCGCUCUUCACGGGCUGGCGUUUAUCCAAGCAGCUCGAGCCAUACAUAGAUGUGGUUACCUGUUAAAGUAGAGCAUUGGGAUGUAAUGAACGAGGUCGAAGAAUUUCUAGAAAUCGCAUAUUGAAGGAAGCGUGUGUAUCGAAUCACUGUCACCGCUCACACUCAGGACACUAGACUGGAGCAAAAGCAAGAGAAUCCUCUUAUCAAUUUUAUCCUGGAGGAAAUGGUAUCUCUUAUGCAAAAGAAGGAGCUGCAGUUUAACUUUCACUACAAGCGGGAAUUCACAAUCCUUAGCAAGAGUAAAGGGAGAAAUGACGGAUUAGGAUCAAGUGAGGGUGCGAGUUCAAGUGCCAUGGUUGACGUUUAUUCCGGAGGCCCUAGAGCAGAUUUCGUAAUCACUUUAAGGAAGAAGAAUGCCUUGGUCUUCGAGGUCAAGAAUGAAGGUCUGGGAAGUGACGGAGUCGACCCCUAGUUUCUCCACCGAGUUUGGACAGACUGCUCUUGCAGAUCAAGUUCUAUCUGGCCCUAUCCCAUAUUUUCAAAGUGUGUUCCAAUUCUUACAUUGUUGCAAGAAUUUUGACUGAGGUUCCAAUAAUCGCAGGAGAGGGCAGGUGCGGAUUUGCCGUUUUUGGCAUCAUGCCAUCUCAUGGUGAAAGGAUCAUCCGUUGUAUUUGUCAGUUGUAUGAGUACAUGGUUUUGUGUAAGGUGGGUUAUAAUGUUCUAACCGAUGCAAGAAAUUGGUAUCUCUUCAAACGGGAUAAUGCCGGCUGCCUUAAAAUAUCAUAUGGUAUUAAGACGAGCGCUGAGCCCCCGCGUGUGCUUGCUGCUUUGUCAUAUUUGGUGCACGCUGCUGCACUGGAUAACUCUGAGUUUGGUGACCCAACGGGGAAUGGCCAAUUUCCCUUAGUUCAUGAAGCUGCCCCCUCUGAACAUUCCGAUGAAAGUAGUGAUCAUGACAUCAAUGAUUGAACCUUUACAGCACGUGUGAGCCAAAAUAUCUCUUCCUCUGAUAAACGAAGGUCUGAAAGACAUCGCUGAGGUGGGGCUCAGCUGGCUUUGGAAGAUUUCUCCGCUGAGGACCUGAACCUGAAAAAGGCGGGUGGUGUCAUAAAUAGUGAGGGGUGGAGUGGAUGCGUUGUAAAUGGCUGUUUGCAUGGCCAACCUGUUGCAUUGAAGUUUGCCUACUUAGGCAUGGAACAUGCCGAGGCUCUCCUAAAGGAGGUGGUUGCCUAUACGAAGAUCGAGAAGCUUUGGGGGAUUUUUGUUCCUCGAUUAAUAGGAUAUGGAACCACAAAUAACGGUCGGGUUGUAUUUAUCGCGACUGAAUUGAUUGACGGUGUUGAGCUUGGAGAAGUGGCGGUGACCCGGGAGGUGGAGACUGCAGCGCUUGAAGCGCUUGCUGCAGUCCAUGCAUGCGAGUUGCUUCAUAGAGAUGUUUCCUUAAGUAACAUUAUGGUUGUGUGGGGAACGAAGCCUACUGUCCGCAUCUUGGAUUUUGGCUUCUCGUGGAUUACCAGCAACAAGAAGUUACAGGAGGCAGAGCGCGUGCGCUUAAAGCGUCUUUUUUUUUCACACAUGGUGGAGCAGCGGGGGAAGAAGCAAAUGAUGCAAGAUAUCCUUGUAUUCUGCCUUGUUAAAUGCAAGGCAAGCUCUUGUCCAAGGAACUUUCACUUAUCUUGUUACAGCUAGAAGUACCAUGUUAAUGGCAUCAGAGCAGGGUCAACUCUCCAUUUGGAGAGUGCCAUCAUCUGCUUGAUACUUUGCGGUGUGUCUAGAAACAGAGGGAUCAUGAAUUAUACAUUUGCAUCCAUGCUUGACUUAGUCCAAUUUGAACCAGCUGACAGAUGCUGACUGGUUAUGUGUAUCUGGAAAAGUUGCUAAAGGGUCAUAUGUAUUUGAAGAAAUUGAUGCCAGCAGGCAAGUAGGCAUGCACUAUUUUUUGUGUUCAAAGAAGUACAUUGAUAAAACAUCAUGUGCAGAGGGGAUGUUGUUGUAUUUAUAAAUAAAAGAUAGAUUGUGACUUCUAUUGUCAA